GGGGGUUUAGCUCAUCUGGCUAGAGCGCAACACUGGCAGUGUUGAGGUAAUCGGUUCGAGUCCGAUAAUCUCCA
rnacentral:tRNA from 1 species